CAGCAGUGUACUAGAUACACUUCCGCCAGAUAUGGACACAAAUGUCAAGUCUCCCACAUCUUGCCCACACUGGCUAUUAUCAACUUUUUUUAACUUCUGCCAAACUGAUAGACAAAGACCAAUAUCUCAUUUUGCUAUGAAUUAUGUACUUUUUUUUUUUUUUUUUUUUUUAAACCAAGCCUAGUUGUGUUUUCUGCAGUAAGAGGUUGUAUCGUUUGGCUUUGGGACUCCUGCUUUGCUCGUAGUCAUCAGUACAUUGCUGGAUGUUGUUGAAUCUUUUGCUGCAGUCUAUUCCCCUACCUGAGCACAGGGGUCAUUGCUUUCGGUCUCUGACAUAGAUUCUCAAUAUAUUUACACACACAUAAUCACAAGCCUUAAUCACACAUAUACCACAUUAUAUACAUGCAAUCACAUACAUGUGCACACCACAUCACACACAAAAUCACACAUGCAAUCAUUCACACACACCACAUCACAUUAUAGAGUGUCAUUGUAAAGCAUGAAAAUGAAAUCAGUGUUCUGCCCCCUAGUUUAGAGACCCAUCAAAUUGCUGGAACACUUCAAAAACUCCCUGACGAUUGUAGCCUUUCUCAGGUGCCAGCCUCAUCAUUUCAGUUCUCUGGAACCUCCCUCUAGAAACUUGUUUUUGCAAGCUGAGAGCUAUUUCCCUCUUGUUGGACAUAUUUGCACUCUCAUAGCACAAAUCACGACUGCAGUGCCUGCAUUGGCCCAAAAUUCAACUCUUAUUUCAGUUUUCUACCUCACUGCAAUACCUUCUGGAUAUCUUUACAAUGUCAACAUCCAAUUUCACAGCCUCAACGGAACUUGGCCAAUUCUAUUUGAUUUAGGAAGAGAAUAAGACAGUAUUUACCUAGAAAAAAGUCCAGUGGAAUGAGCUGUCUCUUCAGGAAUAAAUCAGAAGAGAAAAGGUACAACUUAGGAGCAAAACAAGUCCUGGAUUUAAAACCAUGGCAAGCAGACUUCUCCACCGGGUACAAGAAAUAUUGCUGGUUACCUUGUGUUUAUGUCUCCAAAAUGAGUAUGAACUAAACUGUUUUGAAAGCCAAAGAAGUCAAUUUUUGUGACACAAGACUAGGCUAGAAAAGAUGGCAAAGAUUUCAAGAAAUCUGAAACUGUUUUCAAAAAAUCUAUCCAAAUAUGAGGGAGCACAGAAAAAAUCUUUUAAACAGAUUAUUAGAGUUCAUGAAUUUACAGCUUUAUAAUUAUUUCAGUCCGCACUGAGGAAGUAGGCUGUACAACAGCCCUCUUAAAUUUUUUUUAUUGCUUUCUCAAAUACAUUUUACAGAAUUGACUUUACAAUCCAUUGACUGGUCAGUUCUUGCUGGGCUGAAUCAAUUGAUUAAAUGGAGAAAAUAAUAUAUAAUGUUUCCCUCAGGGGAAUGAUGAGAAUUAUGAUGUCAACUUUCACAAAAAUGGGCUGUAGCUUUUAUCUGCCUACUUUUGUUAAACUAUUUUUAAAAUUAAUUUAAGCAGUCUAUUAGUUCAAUAAAUGUUCAAUUUUAAAUACUAAAAGUUAUUACACUAUAAACCAUGAGAUAAAGAAUAUAUUUUGAUAAAAAGCCCCCAAAUUUCACCAACCAGACAGCUGAGACUCCCAAGUCUUCAUGAUAUCAUAUUGCAGUUAACAAUUAUGUCUAUUUAUAUAUUUACAAAGUCACUGUGAUAUCUGAGUAAUGGGUAAGUCAGGCUUUACCUUGUAAAUUAAGUCCUGCAAACUGACAAUGUUUUAAGAACUCUUAUUGUGCUCACUACUCAUUGCAGGUAUCUGAUAUGUCUGUUUUUUCUCCUCCCUAGAUUAUGCUAUUUUGUUAUAAUUUUUAAUCUUCUUAUUCUAACAAUUUUGAUACCUCAGUCCUUUCCAGAGAUGGAAGAGAUACCAGUCAAUCACAAAUAAAUAAAGAAUGUAUGUGAACCAGAUGCUUAUGGCAUAGAUCAUUUUUAUAGGCAUGACAAUUAGGUGGCUACCAUUUAAGGUAUGUUCCUAGAAUAUUUUACAGUAUAUUUUCCAGUCUUAAUUACAAACUUUAGAAAAUAAUUUGAAUAAAAUAGAAAAUGUCUACAGUAUUAUGGAAUUUCCUUCUCAUCAUAUUUGAGAAUCUGUUGUAAAAGCAUGUAAUUAGAACAAAACAAAAAUACUUGCUGACACAUUUUUCUAGGACUUCUGGCCAAAGCAAUAAGGCAAGAAAAAUAAAUGAAACUGAUUAGAAAAUAUAUUAGUAAUAUAAAAUUAGUAGCUAAAAACAAAAUUUUAUUAGCUUAUCGUUCUGGA
rnacentral:lncRNA from 1 species